rnacentral:lncRNA from 1 species
AAAGACAUGGCCAGGAACUCAUAAUGAAACUUAUCUCUUUAUUGGCGCAUCUCAAUUUUCCAAAUUCUCCUAACUCCCACUUUAUCAGAAAUUUCGACAGAGUCUCCUCUAUAAUUGGGCCUAUCCACCUGUCAGAGUGAUACCCAAAUCAACUCCUAGCAAUAUUUUCACAACCCGACAACAUACCUUAAAGAAUACAUCAAAACAUAAAUGACUAAAUAUGAUUAGAAGUUAUUCAAGAAUUAUCAAAUAAUCCUAACGGGUAUUACUCCCAUUUAAAAUAUAAUACAAGAUUUUUAUUUUAUAAAAGAAAAAUUUUUAACCCAAAAACUUUUCACCAGGACCUUGUCCUUAUAUAACAUACACCGCAGCUUCUGGCUUGGUUCAAAAUAUUUUACAUUAUAUAAAAAUUUGAGAAUCUCAUCCUCAACUCUAAAUCACAAGUAUUUGCACAUUAUACUAACUGAAAUCUUUCAUUUCCGUUCUUUCUUCUUCUCAAUAAUUUUUGUCAAAUAAAAUCACAACAUAAAAUGAACCCUCAUGCCGAUAGGGCAUAUAAUUGACAAUUGAAAUUAAUUAUCCAGAAGUUACAUCAAAACCACUGUAGUAAGUAAUAUAAAGUCACUUUUGGCCUCAUAGCUAUUCUAACACAUAAUAAUAGGGAUAGCUAUUUUCAUAUAAUAGCCCAACGUAAGUAUUCAUAUAAGUAGAUUUGAUGAUUACGAAGUUCACUCAUGAGUGGAGAAUAAUAAGAGGACUCGCCUCAAUUUUUCAAAACCAAAUCAAAUUAAGGUGAAUAUCCUUUUAUAACCAUCGGAAUUGUGCAUGUGAUGACACUAUCUGGUGUAGUGACCUCAGUCAUACCAUAGAAAUUAUAUCAAUGGCUGAGUCUCCACCUCUAGGAGCCCCACCUCCAUCUUUAACCUCCUGAUCCGUACCUUUGGCUGGUCAUGUAAGUUGAGUAUUGACUGCAAUGGGGCACGUAGCCUUAGCGCUUUCAUAAAUCAUAUUUCUCCAAUCUACCACAUUCACAACAAUUCCUUUGAGGCUCAACUAACUUAUUGUACCUGAUGACAUAUUCGGACAUUGUCAUGGUGACCUGGCACAAUCGUGCAGAUCGCAUAUACUACAUAUUGCUAAAAAUUCGGGAGAUAAACUCCUUCAAGACAUAUCUUAAAAUAGAGUUGAGUAGGUAGUGUCGCAUUGUCCAGUCUGCCCUCCUCGUAGGCUUGUCACAAACACCGACGACCAAUUUCCUCUUUUUCCAUGCUGGCUUGACACUGAUGAGCUACCCCUUUGUUCGUAUACUCUUCAUUAUUCCUUGGGGGCGAUCCUUACCCCCUGCAAGGUACCAAACCUUAAACAUGUAUAAUUAUUUGGGGAAUAUAUAUAUAUAUAUAUAUAUAUAUAUAUAUAUAUAUACCAAGCCAAAACUGACAUUACACAUGGCCAUCUGGUCCAUUCACUAAUAGUGGAAUUCCCACUUUUUGGCUCUAAGUCAAAGUUACAACAUUCGGCAAUCCACAAUAUUUUUCCUCCACAACUCAAAUAAAUUAACCAUACAUCAAGGUCCGUUGAACCCUUGUAUGAUUCAUUAGGUGAUUUCUUGAUACAUCUGCAUCUUUCGUUGGAACCACAAUUAGUCUGGUAAAUACAUUAUCUUUCCACUAUUUCUAUUUGUCAUCCGAAGCACAGUAAAAUUAACCCCCUCGCUUUCGACUAUUCCCACGUUCUGCAAUACCUCAUAGCAGCGGUCAAGAAACUCCCGUGGGUUCUUAAAAGAUGCAUCGCUGAAGGUGGUAGCGAAGAGUUUGGUAAAACAUAUCUGACCUCCGCAAAACCUCUGAAGGUGUCGUGGUUCUAUCACCAGCACGUGCUAUUGUUCGGCUGAAGAAGUGGUACGUGACUUCGCCAUUCGUGGGAAGACAAGAGUAGAAAUUCAAUUAGCUUUUGAAGAACAAUUUCGACAGGAAAGAAUGAAGGUGAAAUUUUCCUAAUUCUGUAGCCUCUAGGGGAUGAAUACAGACGUCUCCUUACCGAUACCUCAGACUCUACAAAGGUUGCUCGUGAGUUGUGAGACCUAUGUAACCUAGUGCUCCGAUGCCAACUGUCACGGCCCGAAAUUUCCCACCAUCGGGAGUCGUGUGCCUACUAAUAGGAGCUAGGCAAGCCAACUCUUACUUGUAUUUCGAUUUUUAACAAUACUUAUUUAAAGCUAUUAUCAACAAUAUUAAAAUUUCAGCGGAGUAAUUAAAUUUAGCGGAAGACUUAGUAAGUUUUACUAGAUGCAAUACUAAAAUUCCAACAUAAACACUACCCAAGAACUAGUGUCACAAUGCUCACAAACUUCUAUGAAUACUAAACACAACCGUUUGAAAGAAAUAUAAAACUGGUUUUCUCGAAUACAUCAGAUAACAGAUUGAUAAUAAAGAUAGAAGAGACAUCGGGUCCUGAGGACGCCUGCAAGGCUACCUCGGUGUCUCGAUGAUCAGAAUGCAAACAACCGUACUACUGCUACUAUUGUUGCCAGUAACCUGUAUCUGUGCAAAAAGAGCGCAUAUUAUAGAAUUAACACAACCGACGCCAUGUGCUGGUAAGUGUCUGGCCUAUCCCGGCGAAGUAGUGAUAAGGCUAUAACCAGACACUCACAUAAACAUAUACAGUUCAAAAUAUAUAUACAACAAAAAUACCAGGAAGAAACAUUAAGUAUUUGGGAAGGGAAACAUGCUCUGGGGUAGUGGCAAAAUAUAAUGUCAGAAAUAGAAUAAUGGAAUUUAAUUCACUUUCAAGUUCAACUCAUCUUGUUGCAGGCAUGCAACCCGUUUUCAUCACAAUAAAAUUUGUAGUAGACGUACCAUUGGAUAUCAUUUGAAUAUAUUAUAUAAGGGAUUGACCCAAUUUAUUAUGUAUAUUGUGGACGGCGUUCCACACGAUCCCAUUUCAAUAUAUAAGUGGUCGGCGUGCCACACGAUCCUAUUUCAAUAUAUAAGUAGUCGGCUUGCAACACGAUCCCAUUUCAAUAAAUAUGUGGUCGGCAUGCCACACAAUCCCAUUUUAAUAUAUAAGUGGUCGGCGUGCCACACAAUCCCAUUUCACUUUUAACAUAGUUCCAAAAAAUAUAUUAUUGGCAAGAGAAAACAAUAACUCGGUGCCAAGGCUCAAAAAUGAAUCUUUGUCUUUUAUUCACUUCUUACUCAAUUAUCAUGUCAUUGUUCGUGCCCACGCUCGAGGAAUUCACAAUUUAUAAUUUGCUUUUCACACUUAUCACAUAAUUUAGAAAUCAACAAUUAGGUGUGGAUGAGUUACGCCAAUAUCAAAUAAUCACAUGUAAAGACUCAUGGUCAUACUAGACCUCCAACGUAUAGAUACUCGUCACCAUGCCUAUACGUCGGACUGCACACAUAGCAAUCAACAAAUAGACUUAACUCUUAUUUCCUCAAGCUAGGAUAGAUCAAACACUUACCUCGAAGAUUUAUGGCUAACUCAAUCCUUAAGCAAUGCCUUUCCUAUCAAAUUUGUCUCCAAAUACUUCAAAUCUCAAUAUAGCCGGAAAAUUGAUUGUUUCUCUAUUCUGAACUCAAAAAUUCAACGAAUAUACUACUUGAGAAGCAACCUUCACAGCUGCAGAGAAAUUCCAUGUCAACACCUUCUUCCGUGCACCAAAAGGUGGAUUCAUCACAACCAUCUCAAAAACUUGACUUUUCCAUUUUUAGUUUCUAAUUCACAUUGAACAAAAUCCAUGUCUAAAUCAAGUUCAUCAGCGUUUGCAUAUGCAAUCACAAUAUUCCAACUUGGAUUUGUGUGCAUCCAUGUUUAUCAUAGCUUUGAAACCUUUUAGAAAACCUUUGAAUUAAAUGAAUUGAGUUGUAAAUACAAGCUUAGUAAGCAACUGGACAAUUUUGGAUAGGAGAUUCUGCCGGCGACAACGAACAGAACCGACAAUCGGAAACCAACUCGAACUAGCACUGAGCUUCGAACAGAUAGCGAUGACCUCGACGGCUCGAUGACUGGAAACCUCUCUUCUAAAUACAAGCUUAAUAAGCAACUGGACAAUUUUGGAUAAGAGAUUCUGCCGGCGACAACAAACAGAACCGACGACCGAAAACCAACUCAAACUAGCACUGAGCUUCAAACAGAUAGCGACGACCUCGAUGGCUCGAUGACUGGAAACAUCUCAAGUUCUGUCACUAUUUCUGCUAUAUUUCCGACCAAUCAUGGUAGCAUAGCUGCUGUCUGUUCAAGUUCGGCUGUCCUUUCUAUUUUUCCUAGGGUUCGCUACUUGUUUCCAUGAAGAAGAAGAUGGUCUAUGCUUCUCUUUUAAACAGAAUAGUGGAAGAAAAAAACGUAUUCCAUCUGAUAAUGUCCACCAAGUGAUCAUUUUCCUUUCUAUGAAAUUCUCACCUAAUCAUCAACUUAUAAAAUUGCUAGUGAAAUGUGUCUUUAAUAUGGGUUCCACCUAUAUUGACU